UACGUAGGUGGCGAGCGUUGUCCGGAAUUAUUGGGCGUAAAGAGCUCGUAGGCGGUCCAUUAAGUCGGAAGUGAAAUCUCAGGGCUCAACCCUGAACUUGCUUCCGAUACUGGUGGACUUGAGGUAGGUAGGGGAAGGUGGAAUUCCUGGUGUAGCGGUGAAAUGCGCAGAUAUCAGGAGGAACACCAGUGGCGAAGGCGGCCUUCUGGGCCUUACCUGACGCUGAGGAGCGAAAGCGUGGGGAGCGAACAGG
rnacentral:misc_RNA from 1 species